rnacentral:rRNA from 1 species
GGUGGUAAUGCCGGAUGCUCCAGUUGGAUGCAUGUCCUUCUGGGAAAGAUUCUAUCGGUAUGGGAUGGGGUCGCGUCCUAUCAGCUUGAUGGCGGGGUAACGGCCCACCAUGGCUUCGACGGGUAGCCGGCCUGAGAGGGCGACCGGCCACAUUGGGACUGAGAUACGGCCCAGACUCCUACGGGAGGCAGCAGUGGGGAAUAUUGCACAAUGGGCGCAAGCCUGAUGCAGCGACGCCGCGUGCGGGAUGACGGCCUUCGGGUUGUAAACCGCUUUUGACUGGGAGCAAGCCCUUCGGGGUGAGUGUACCUUUCGAAUAAGCACCGGCUAACUACGUGCCAGCAGCCGCGGUAA